UACGUAGGAUGCAAGCGUUGUCCGGAAUUAUUGGGCGUAAAGAGCUCGUAGGUGGUUUGCUGCGUCCGCUGUGAAAACCCAAGGCUUAACCUUGGGCUUGCAGUGGAUACGGGCAGGCUUGAGUUCGGUAGGGGAGACUGGAAUUCCUGGUGUAGCGGUGAAAUGCGCAGAUAUCAGGAGGAACACCGGUGGCGAAGGCGGGUCUCUGGGCCGAUACUGACGCUGAGGAGCGAAAGCGUGGGGAGCAAACAGG
rnacentral:rRNA from 1 species